UCUUGAUCCACGUCACUCUACGAGGGUCCUUAAUUCAUAAUACUAAAGCUGAGGAACGGACGCGCAGUUAUCCAGGGUUUCCUGGAACUUGGUGCUGGUAUAUCGUAUAUGGAAGCCCUUCUUGCUAAUGGUGUCAUCACUAUGGAAAAGCAGCAGCAUGGUGUCACCGGCAGAAUAGAUCUCCUCUCGGGGCUGGAAGCACAACAGGAAGAAGAAAACACUUAAUCCUGGUUCUGCUGUCAGAGGCUACGCUGUGAGGCCGGCUGCUUCCAGGCUCAAAGUUUCUAGGACAGCAGUACACAAGAAUAAGAGGUAGCGUCAGCGGCGAAAGGGAAUAACGAUCGGUGGACAGGGGCAUUGUGGGAAAUGCGGUAGGCCACGCUGACACCCACGGCAAGGCUGACCUGUGGAAUGAGUGGCCUGGAAGCCGAGCCUCUGCACG